AAAAAGCCUUCCUCACUCAAUCGGGUGGUGGUGUGAGAGCAGUUUCGAGCUUUUACUAAUUUCAUCACAACCUCCUUGAGUGAGUGAGGCUUUCA
rnacentral:pre_miRNA from 1 species